UCAAGGCCGAAGGAGCCGCGAAGGAGCCCCGGCGGCUCAGGUCUCCCACCCGCGAGAGCUGGGGAAAGGCCUGGAACUGGCUUCACCUGCGCCAGCGGCUUCGAGCUCUCCAUCACCAUAUUUUGGCAGCUGGUGACAUGUCCGUGGGCUUGCUGUUUUGACAGCACCGUAAGGAGUGUAGGUGGCUUGUGAAGAACUUCAAGAAUCCAAAUGGUGUAACUGUGAAGUUCAGGCUUGGAGGACCUGGACAGAGGCCCAAAAUGCAGGAAAUCACAGACACCAGUAAUAACAAGUUGCUUUUCUGCUCUAUUUUUCCUUGGUAUCUUGACCCUUCCUAAGACCUCCGAAGCACCCAAUAGUUUGCUGUGGUUUUGUGGCGCAGAGUUCAAGCAAUACUCAACUACACUAACACUACACUGCUGCACUCAUUGCUUAUGGUAUUUUUAGUUGAUGUAAAUUGUUCCAAAAUGUUCUACCCGAAGUUCAUUCUGAUCCUUCUUUUAUAAGCAUGGAAUUUUCCCAUGAUCUCUAUCUCAGUAAGUGAAACCACUAUCAUCCACUCUAAAAUGCAAACUAAAAAUGUAGCAGUCCUUAGGGGCCUCUCUUAGUCCUCACUCAAAUCUAUCAACCAAGUUCUAUAAUUCUUAACCUCCUAAAUGUGUUUUCAAUUCUAGCUCUCCUCAUAUCCAAAAUAAUGGCCCUUCUUGGAUAAUUUCCUCACUAGAGUCUUCCUGAAUCUACCAAUUCACUCUCAACUAAGAGCUAGAGUGUAUUUCCAUAGUAUUUCACUAUCAAUUAAAAAACUUGCCUCAGAUUUGCACGAUACAAAAGGAUAUGACUCAGUAUUUAACACUGAACUGUACAAAUGUUUUAUAGCCCUACCUGCAUCUUUCAACUUGCACCCCUAUUUUUCUGCACUCCACACAACAGUCCUUUUGAAGCUUCUUUAAUUUGCCAAGAACCUUCCAUGCUAUUUCUUUCACACUAUCGCCUUGGUAACAACUUUUGACUAUCAAUUUCUCACCAUCAUUUCUACACAAACAAUUUAAAUUCUUUCUAUUUUGGGUCACCAGUAGCCUAUGAAACUUUUUCAUGGAAUUUACCACGGCUACAAUUUUACUCAAAUUAUCAUUUGAGUUCUUUAGUAAUUGCUUUGGGCCUUAAUUCAUAUGUGAUAAAAUGUGAGUGAGAUGAUCUGGAUGACAGUGGACCUCAGGAUCAAAUGUAUGAAUGCUUGGUCUCCAGUUUGAGCUGUCUGGGAAGGAUCUGGAAAUGUGUCCUUGCUGCUAAUGCAGCUUAGUGGUUGUAUGCUUGUCUAUGAGGCCCUGGAGUUAAUCCUCAGUAAUAAGUCAAAGACAAAAUGAUCUAUCAAGUCAUGUUAUCAUACUUUACUUCCCGGCUGCUGUGAUAAAACACUGACCAAAACGCAUGUUUGGAAAGGUGGAAAUUUUAGUUUACAGGUUACGGUUCAUUAUUGAGGGAGACCAGGAAACACAAGGCAGGAACUUGAAGCAGAAACCAACAGAGAGACUCUGCUUACUGCUUCCUUCCAGUACCUGCUUGGCUUGCUUUAUUACAUAAUCUGCCCAAGGGCAGGACCACCUAUAAAAGGCUGCUACCAACUCUGACAAUUAGCAGUCCAGAAAAUGCCCCCAGAGUUGCCUACACGCAAGCUAAGGAAGGCAGUCUCUCAAAAUUCCCUUUUCCUAGGUGACCAUAGCUUGUGUCAAGUUAAGAGAAACAAAACCAAAAACCUAACCCAACACACAUGUAAAGAUCAAGAGGAAACAAGCACAUUUUCCUAACUAUAAGAAGCCUAUCCUAAAAGAAUGUACAAUUCCAAAUACUACAUAUAACAUUUGGGAGCAAAGCAAAACUCUGGAAACCAUAAAAGGCCAGGACUAUGAAGAGAGAAGGAUAAACAGGUAGAAUGUCAAAAUUAUUUUUAAAAAAUUGUGUGUGUGGGGGUAUUUUGUCUGCAAGUGUGUAUGUAAGCCUGGUGCCCACUGAGGUUAGCGGAGGCUAUCAGAUCACUGAGAACCGGAGCUAUUGUUGGCUAUAAGCUGAUUUGUGGGUGCUAGGAAUCCAAGCUGGGUCCUCUGGAAGAUCACCCAGGUGUUCUUAACUCCUGGGUCAUCUCUUUGGCACCCAGAGCAUUUUGAAGGUAGGAAAACUACUAGGUAUGCUACUGUAAGGCCAUACGAUACAAAUUUGUCCAAACUCAUAAGCAAUAUAAAGAAUAAACUUUAACCAGUGAUGGUGGUACAUGCCUACAACUCUAGCAUUUAGGAGUUAGAGGCAAGAUCAUCCUUGGUGAAAUAGUGAGAUGGAGACCAACCUGAGCUACAUGAGACUUUGCAUCAAAAAAACUCCAAAACCCUCAACAAAACAAAACCUAUGUGUUAUGCAAUAAUGUGUCACUAGAAAUCACCAGUGAGAACAAAUGUACCAUCCUGGCAGGAAAUACGCCAUGCACAUGCAGGACAGGGAUAUGACAAACAGGAAAUCACUGAACCUCCCCCAAGCCCCCCCCCCCUCGUCUCCCUUUCCCCCUCCUACCCCCCAAUCUAUCUCUCUCUCUCUGUCUCAGAACUGAAAACUAUUCUAAAAUAUAGAGUACUUUGUUGUGUUCUAAGCCAAACCAAUAGUUCUCUUGGCAUUGACCCUGCAACAGAGGCAAGUGACUAGAGCAGAUGUAAGACAACUCAAGUUUCAGAAAUGGUCUAUAUAGCCUCAAUAUUUUUGCCUGUCUGUCUUCAGAAAUUUCAAAACUGAUGUCAGCUAGUCAAUUCCUAUGUAGGAACUUAGGCCAGAUGGAGCACAUAUAUCACUUGGCAUAUAGGAAAAGCAAUGCCUAUCUUACAAUCAAAGCAGGGAAACUGCAGUUAACACACUGUCGAACAGAAAUAUUUGUUCAAAAUUAGAAUUAGCAGCCCCUCCACAGGCCCACGAUGCUUACUAUAGUGCAUCACCACUGAAUCCUCAGUGUCUCCUCACAUGGGACUGGCAUAACACUGGGUGCUUAAAAAUGCCAUUGGGGAAUGAAAUGCCAGGUAUUGUGUAUAACAGUCUCAACACACUGAAGGGGAGGUAAACAGAGCCAGUGUAGGGGACACACAGGGAAGAGGAGGACAAGAGAUUAGUCUUUAGUACUGUUCAAUUUUUAAUUAUUUAUUUGAUGGUUAACUAUUGCCCUAAUUUUCAUAGAUAAGAUUCUGCAUUGGUCACUUAACUUUAUUCUGAGAGAACUUCUAGAUUUUAUUUUUAAAAACUUACAUUACUAAAUUCAGUAAGAAAUAUUCAGCUCUUUGCCACAGGUAAAUAUAAUUGCUUUCUAUUAUUUAAUUCUCAAAUUUAAAAUAUAUAACACAAUUUUAAAGGUCCAUCUCUGUGUAGUAUAUCAGGAUUAGUAAGGUUAGAAAUGAAAAUGUGUUUAUUUCUAGAGGAACAGUAGAAAGGGAAACUAUAGUAUUUUAUAUAUUUCUACAGAAAUAGGAUGUCUCUGUAUAGCCCUGGCUGGCCUUAAAGUCACAGAGAUCCACCUCCCUCUGCCUCCUGAGUGCUGGGAUUAAAGACUUGUUUUACCAUACCCGAGUUUAAGUUUUUAAGCAUGUGUUGUUCAUGUCAUUAUCACAUUUUAAAAACAUUUUUAUUAUUUGUGUGUGAGUGUGUGUGUGUGUGUGUGUGUGUGCGCGCGCGCGCGUAGGUAUGUUUGAAAGUCAGAAGACAGUGCUGUGAAGUCAGCUCUCCCUCUACACUUACAGUUUCUGGGGGCUUGAGCUCAGGUCGCCAGGCCUCCAUGGCAAGAGCUGUAACUGCUGAGCCUGUCACAGUGUAAUCCCAGUAUGGUUUCUGCUCUCUUCUUUAUAGGAGAGUGACUCCAUAAAGACAAGGACCAUGGGUACUUGUAUACACCCACAUACUCUUGGCAACUAUUACAAUAGAAGACGACAGUGAAUGUUGAAUAGACACAUAACUUCUCUAUAUUCUUUGUAUGCUGAGUUGAACAGGCACCACUUAAAACCUAACAUUUUUAUAAAGGGAAGGCAGAAAAGCAUACACAAGAUUUCUAUUAAAACAUGCAGUGAAAAUGGAAUCUUGGCAGUUAACGGAAUAACCUCUAGCUAUCUGUAAAAAUGGACCAUCUGUUCUUAGUUGCUUCCCAGAGUUCAGAACAGUCGCGCUAUAACUAGAUCAAAAAAACUCAUCAGAAAAAUGAAUCCUAGAGAAUCCUAAAUUCUAACUUAAGAGCCUAAAAGUUUCCUCAGAAAGAGCAAUGGCUCUGUUGAGAGCCUCAAGGAGAAGCUGGAGGAAGCCCAACUAAGUGGCUUUUUCUCCGCACUAUUUUACCUGUGGAAGGAAGGAAUGACACAUGUGCACGGCAGGCAUUUCCUUGUAGGAGUGGGGGUGAGGCGCUUGAGGGAGAAAGUAAAGCAUACCCGGUUUUCUGUGUAAUGCUAAAAAUAAAUCUAACAAAGCCAAGGGAAAUGACAUAGUUGUAGUAAACAACUGUGUACUCAAAAAGUACUUGGUGUAUUAAUUUAACCCUCAAGAAAAGUUCUCGAAACCUUCCUAUAUUCACUGGCAAUGGUGGCACAUACCUGUAAUCCUGCACUUGGAGGGUAGAAGGGUAAGAGAAUCAGGAGUUUAAGGCCAGCCUCAGCAAAACAUCGUUUGAAGUCAGCCUGGUAGGCAACUUGAGGCUGGUGAGAUGGAUCAAUGGGUAAAGCUACUUCAUAUUGUUGUGGUGACUCAAUCAUAAAAUAAACCAUGCAGGGAAUCCUUGGCUACCCCCGUAGAAAGGUCUUCUGACCCCCAAGGGUUAUAACCCACAGGGUGGGAAACUGUUCCAAGCUCUUGAUUAAAUUAGCCAAAGUCAUUGUCUCAUUGCAUCGUAAGAAUUCUUUAGUCUCUAGUGUUUAGCUGUGGCCUUAUUUUUUAGGCUUUUUAAAAUUACCUAUUCAUCAAGAUCAGAUAGUAGUAAAGACAUUAUAAUAAAAUACCUGAUAAACUUUAAAUGCCAUAUAGCCUUACAAAUUUAAAUGUUUUAAAAGCUGUUUUUUAAUCUAGUUUUUAAUUUUCUAUAAAACUCCAAAAUUUUCUUUAAAGGAGUUUAAAAUCUGUCAAUUGUGUGUUUUUGCAAUAUCAAAACAAAGUCUCUUUUUUAAGAUGCAGAGCAUAACCAUAAUUUUUAGAAGGCAUAACCAAGUUUUAACAGUGUAACAAUUUAGUGUCUCUAAAAUCAAUACCAAGCAGAUUCCUUUGAUGUUAUAAAAUUUGACUAUAGCAAGAAGAUUCUUGUAUAUGUGUGCAUAGAGGCACAGCUUUAAUACAUCAUUAAUCAAGCAUAGUUUUAAAUCUUAUUUUUAUAAACUUAAGGUUUUUAAGACAGGACAGAAAUUAUUUGGCUCUCAUCCUGAUUUAGUAGUGUCUGUGGAGACCUGCUUCCCUGGUCAGCUCAUGCCAUUUGUUGCUGCUCCAGAAUGGCAUGACUUUAAGCUAACAUUUUGUUAUAGAUGUUAUACAUUUUUAACCAUAUCCAAUAAUAUAUAAGCUAAUAACCUAUAAUCUAUACAGAGCACAGUAAACUCAUACAUUCAAGCCAGUCAGAAACAAACAUACAGUGGGCACAUACAAUUAUAUAUUUAAAAUAGACAAACUUUCCUUACUUUCUCCAGCUGCAAUUCCAGGGGACACCUUGCUACUAAACCUAACUGUCACGGGCACUGUGGUUUUGUAGCAGAACUAGCCAUCUUCCUUACCGGAAAAGCUGAGAAGCUACAGGUUCCCCUUUAAGAGCAGCUUGUACAAAUUAGGCAGCCCCUGGCUUGCUGAAUGCUUGACUCAGGCAGGAGGUGGGGCUUCUCCUGUCUCCUAGCUGCUGGCGCAGGGUUCUUUGAGCAGCAUCAGUUUAUCACCUUUGUUGCCCUAAUUCAACCACUUUUUUCUGAAAAUCCUUGAAAUAAGUUAAAAUUAAGUCAAGGGCGAAUGGCCAACAGAUGAAGUUUGGCCCUUUCCUCCAAAUAUGAAACAAAGAGCAACAAUUAGGCAAUUAAAUGAAACCACAGCCAGAAAAUUAAAGACAUGGACAAACCAGCAUGCCAAGGACAACCAAAAGAGUUGGGAAGGAGAGGGAAGAAAACCAGAUGUCCCACCAAAGUGGGGGCCCAGACCCAGAUCAGGUGGUUCCUCCCGUGGGAACCAAAGAGGAAGCAGCACGUGCACUGGCUCCUCUGACCUUAGGAGCAACACUGUGUCCAGUUUCUUCUUUCUUGGGUUUAACCAAACAGGUGCCAAAGAGAAAACAAAAAACAGGCUUACCUCUGGAGGUUUUAUGCUUCAAACUGAAAUGAUGAUUACAAACCAGAGACCUGGGCAGAAUGACUGGAUUCCUGGGCAACAUACCAAAUGUUCUGGGGUCCACUUAAAUCCAACAUAAUUCAAACAUCAGGUAAAUGUAGAUGACAAAAAUAUAUUGUAAUCAAACAACUAUUGAUAGAUAGGGCUGCAGAACAGACUUAGGAGCUGAACUGCUGAAGGACAUUGCAUAGCAUAUUCAGGGGAUUAAACCAUAAAGCGAGGGGGUGUAGGAUGGGCUCUAGCAUUGUCCAGUCAUACUUUGACAUAAGGGGUUGAGUAAGGAAGUUUUCAUCAAUCAGAGUAAGGAAGUUUUCAUCAAUCAGGAUAGAGUAGGUUCCUGGUUCUGGGAACAUGAACUUAGCUUGACUCUAUCCAAAAAAUUCAGAAGUUGUCCUUGAGAUGUCUGGACUUAGACAACUGUUCCUUAUAAACUGUCUCCGAGAUGUCUGGAUUUGGAUAACUGUUUCCUUAUAAUGGUUCAGUUAUUGGGAAGUCUCCAGCUCCUCUAGGACUUGGGACCUUGAACUUAGUUUCUCCCUAAAUUCUCCCACCUGUCUAAUCAAAUGAAGUCUAAAAGCAAAAUGGUAGUACUUAGAAUAAGUUUCUUUUACUUGUUCCUACUAUACCAUGCCUGACAACCUAAGAUUGAUCCCAAAACCCAUAUAGUAGGAGAGAACUGACCAAACAUACACACACACACACACACACACACACACACACACACAGUACAUGUUCCCAAUUAAAUAAAUGUAAUCAAAUGAAUUUUAAGUGAAAGCUUUCUUACUUGGACAGGCACACCUGAAAAUUACUAAAGGACUAGACUAGUUUGCCAGCCAGUAUCUACAGACUCACCUUGUGUGUCUACUCGAGCUUGGCAGCCAGCUGUGUGGUGCUCAGCCUCUGCCAUCUCGUUAAAGACUUCCCAGCGACUCUGUGCUUUCUAGCCUUGAUGGAAACUGUUGCCACACCUCACUUUGUAUGCUGGUGUUUUACUUCUGCAUACAAGCUACCAAGCUUUCCUUACCCACUCAGCACGCUCUUAUACGAGCUGUUCUCUCCUUUCUUUCUAGGAGUUUGAGAUCAAUACAAAAAAGGGUAUUCUAAUUUCAUUUCUGUUGCUGUGAUAAAAUACCCUGACAAAAAGCAAUAUACAGGGAAAUGGGGUUUAUUUUGGCUUACAUUUCCAGGUUAUAGUCUAUCAUUAUGGGGAAGUUAAAGCAGGAACUUCAAACAGCUAGCCAUAUGAUAUCCACAGUCAAGAGCAGGAAGAAAUAAACAUGCCAGCUCUCUGGCUUCCUUGCUUGUGCUCAGCCUGAUAUUUUUCCAUUUAUAUAGAAUUCAAGACUUCCUGUACCUAAGGAAUCUUGCUAUCCACAGUGAGCUAAGUUUCCUCACAUCAAUUAACUUAAUUAAGACAGUCCUUCCAAAACAUGCCCAGACCACUAGAAGAUCAUCCCUCUUUAAGACUCCCUUCCCAGAUGAUUCCAGAUUGUGUCAAAUUGAUAAAAUAACCUUUACAAGGGGUAAUUUAUAAAACUGCAGAACAGCAGCAAGGAAGUUCUAUUUUGUUAUUGACCUAAGGUACAGUGCACACAAACUGCAUAUUUAAGAACAGUUAGGAACCAUUUUUUGAUCCUUAUAAUCACAGAAGCUAUUUGCUAUACAAAAUAUGAUUGAUUUAUUUAAUAUUGUGAGUGUGCAAAAUAUGUUUGAUUUAUUUAAUAUUAUGGGAUGCUGUGUUGUAGUGCAUGUGUGGAGGACAAAGGUCAACUGUGGACUUAGGGUCUCUCCUUGCACCUUUACAUGGGUUCUAGGCAUUGAACUUGGAUCACCAAGCUUGCAUAGUGAGUACCUUUUACCCACUACAACUCUCCAGACUAUAAACAUCUUAUUACCAACUCAUUUCUAACACAGACUUAAAAAAAAUGUAAAGGUCUAUGCUUAAGCAGCUGCCUGAGAAUUUUCAAACUGAGCUCUGAAGCAAUCUCUACAACCAUCUUCUGGAGUUGAGCAUAAUCGACCUAUUUAAAAGGUGAUAUGUAUGUAUGUGUGUGACGGUGUGUGAUGGUGUGUGUAUGUAUGUAUUACAUGUACCCAUGUUUUCACAUGCAUUUGGAGGCCGAGGAGUACAUUCUAUUACUCCAAAUCUUGGUCUCUCAAGACAGUCACUCACUGAAAUGAACUGGUAGGUAGUUGGACAGCAACCCCCAGGGACCUUUGUGUCUCAGCAUCCCCACAACACCGAAGUUACAGGUGUACAGGACUAUGUCCAGCAUUUUCUUUAUGUGGGUCCUGGGGAUUCAAACUCAGGUCCUCAUGCUUGCACAGCAAGUGCUCUGACCCGCUGACCCAUCUUCCUAGCCCCGUGAUCUUCAAUCAACUCAGCUUAGUGGCAACAUUAAAGCAAGGCUUCCAGACAUGCUGUUGCCUAUGUUUGUAUCUAUAAUGAGGCCAACAUUUGUACUUGACCAUAUCCGGACAUAACAUGAAAAGGUCAAAUGACCUCAUGGCAUGUGUCAUAUAAAAGAAGCUUUUCCAGUAGUUAGAGAAAAGUGAUUGGGAUGACUAAGUCAUCAUACUGUACACUGAGAUGCACGUGCAGUCAGAUUUACAGAGAACCCUACAAGUCCACACUUAUCUCAUUGACAGUCCAGGUUUCUGGAUUGCAGUGGUUAGCAUGCCUGCCUUCUACAUUGUAAACAGCCUUGUAAAGUGGCCCCGCAAGUUGUAGUAAUUGCUUGAUUUUUAAUUUUUCUCUCUGAGACAGGUUUUACUCUGGCUGGCCUAGCACUCACCAGCCUUGGUUGACCUUCCUGAAUGCUAGAAGUGUAGGCAUUUGCCCCUGGGCUCAGCUUAAAUGAAUCUUAGAUUCUAUUGCUUUUUAUUUGCUCCUAAUUUGCAAGUUCUUUUUUAAUGUUUUUAUAAAAGUUUAAAUCUGAGACAUCUACAUUUUGCUUUAUUACACUAAAUAAUAUUACAGCAUAAAACUUACAGUUAAUCCUUUGGGGCCUGAAGAUUUUUCUCUAAAAUUUGAGUCCAAACUUACUCAAGCUCGUAAAACUGCUUUUUAUACCUGUUUGGCAACCAGGCAAGCUGCUCACAGGCUGAGAGGAGGGAGUUAAGGGAUUCACUGGCCCUCUGGCUCUUUCCAAGGACCUUCCUAACUUAGCAGUCAACAAAGACAUUAAAAUGGGGAUGGUGAAUCACAAAACAGAAGCCAAAACCCUGAGUAUGGCAUGAGAGUCUGCAGGGAGAAGGAGCUGACAGCAGUGGGGAGGAGAGCAACUGUGCAUGGAAAAUGUCAGAGAACAGUUAACAAAGAGCAAUCGAAAAGAUGUGAGAAAAAGAGAAAGGGGGAGAGGCUAGAAGAAAGGAAAGAGAGAGAGCAGGCAGGGCCUGCAGGUUAACAGAGAACAGCUGUAGAAAACUCAGCGUCACAGGAUUAAACAGUCAGCUUUUCAGUUAUGCUUACUAGCUGCAGACUAAUCACAAUUUGCUGAUACUCACAAAGAAACAGGGUGACCCAGGAAAAGAACGAAGAGAAUAAAAAUGAAGAAAACCUUAGAUGAAAACGAUAGUUGGAAUGGAAAACAGGAGGAAAUAGUACUUGCUGGACACCAAUCAUCUACGCAUAGGCACCACAGGCCAGGGAUAUGGAAGUGCCACGACAUGGCUGCUUUAUUGGCGGUUUAGUACUGUUUUAAAGAUAAAGAAACUAGGAUGGAAGCCUGAUACAGUGGCCUACACCUUUAAUCCCAGCAACACGGAGGCAGACGCAGGUAGAUCUCAGUAAGUUUGAAGCCAGCCUGGUCUACAUAGGGAAUUCCAGGACAGCCAAACCUACAUAGAGAAACCUUGUGUCAAAUUCCACCCCCUUAAAACAAAACAAAACAAAACAAAAAACUGGGGUUAAAAAGCAAUUACUACAUCACCAUAGAUUUCACAGCUAGGGGGAAGGCAGAGCCAGACCCCGAGGCGCGACCUAAAAUAUUUCUGUUUCUGCACUUCUCUAACCACACAAGAGCUUGGGCAGUGCUGGGCUGCCUAUGCACCGUGAGCACAUUCUCAGUAAAAUGGGCUUUCUCUCUCAUCUCAUGAGCUUCCUAAUCUUAAGAGGGAGAUGUAUGAGUAAGAGAAGGGAUGUACGUGAAGUCCACACUGCUCCUAGCAAAAGCUAGUGUUCAAAUGUUCACUGCUAGGAUUACACAGCAACACGUUCUAGGGCUACACAGCAGAGGCUCAGAGAGAGAUUCCUUUUUACUCUAACGACAGCAAAAGAACUGAAGGAUAGGCCAUGCUGUGCUGGGCUGUGGCUGACUGAAAGCAUCUAAGCAGACAGGGGGAGGGAGAUGUGGGGGGGGCACAAAGCAAAGGAUGGACAGAGCUCUGAACUCCAGGAAAGAGAGCCUCAAAUCACCUAUUAAGUUUGACUUAAUAGUAAAUGUAGCCUACAAGUAAAUGCAGCCCUGUAGGCCAGUGGUUCUCACACUUCCUAACACUGAGACUCUUUGAUAUAGUUUGUCAUUUAUGGUGACCCCAACCAUAAAAUUACUUUUGUUGUCAGUUCAGAUAAUAUAAACAUCUGUUUUACGAUGGUCUUGGGUGACCCCUGUGAAAGAGCCGUUUGACCCCCAAAACCACUGUUUUAGUGGGCUUUUUCUCAUGUAUAAAUGCCUCAGGACCAUCAAUGACAGUUGUUCACUUAAAGGAUGCAAAUGAAAACAAGUUGGUUGGGAUAGGUCAAGAAACAGAGCUGCCGAGAUACAACAAAACCCUAACCUAAGCAUGACUGCACUGAUACCCAGUGAGGGAGUGGUGCGAAGUCACCACCUUGCUUUUACACCCACCAUUCAGAGAACAGAACCAGCAUCAUCAGGGACAAGACAGGUUUAAAGAUGAGGGCUCGAGAAAGAAAGGAUGUAGGCUCAGUCUUAGCCACAUUGAGGGAAUUCCAGAAAACUUCUAAGGCAGAGGUAACUGGAAGCUUUAUGAAGACAGGACGGAAGAGUCAUUUACAGAGUUUAGCUGAAUUUAUGAAAAUGGCAGAGGCAAGCUACAGAGUAAAAGAAGGUCUCUGCAGUCUCAAAGAAAUCAAGGUCACUGAUACUUGAAAAGGAAAAAAUACUUUCCCUAUGAAAUAUGUAAAGCAGAGAAAAAAAGUUAAAUCUCAGUCAAGAAUGAUUGAAGAAAGGGGAUGAGCCAUCAGCCAGGGAGAGAUGCCCCUUGCCCCUUGUCACCUGGGGCAGGCAAGAAAGCUGGCCCUGCCUCUCACUGAAGGCAGCACAGUAGAGCUGGCCCUGGUGGCAUACAAACGGGAAGCCAGUCCUGAGAUCCUGAGAGCUGGAGAGCUGUCUACCCUGUGCUGGCUGCAGCACCGGGUGAGUUAGCCAGGGCAGUGCUGGAGAGCACGCUCUGGUGGUGUGGGUACGGGAGAGAUGGCAGGCUGACCAACUCAGUUACCAUGCAGGCCCACAUCCAGGGCUAUGAAUCAGCCCACCCCAACAUCUACGCCACCGAGGAACUGCUGAAGCACGUGAAGGAGCAGGUCCUGCAGAUCCAUGCAGGAUCUCCAUGACACAGGGAAACAAACAGGUAUCUGAGAGGUGUCCCUGUGAGGAUCCAGUCUUGAUAAUGGAGUUGAAGCCAGACACCUCAAACCAGACGUAUGACUCACUGUAAUGAGCAUUUGUAAGGGAAGAUGUGUGAACAGAAAGGUAUACUGUGGAACUCACUACAGCUUCCACUAUGAGAUUUAUUGUUGUCGCUGUUCUUUUUCCUUUUCUUUUGUGGGGGAGGCUGCAAAGCAGAGGGCGGAUACGAAGGGACAGGAAGAUGAGUGGGAUUGGGAUGCAUGAUUCGAAACUCAAUAAAGUCAAUAAAGAGUUAAAAACAAAAGAACCAGUGAAGAAGAAACAUCUUGUUAUAUGAAGGGGAGAACAGGUAUUUUGUGGGAGACAGGGUCUGUUGCUUAUCUCUGGGAAAUUCUGGCUGGACCAGAACUUACUUUAUAGACUAGGGCAGCCUCAAACUCAUCAAGAUCCACUCACCUCUGCUUCCCAAGAGCUGGGAUUCAGGCUGUGUGCCAUAAUGUCAGGCUGAGAAUAGGUUUUUGUUAGAUCGUAAACCUAAUGAUAAGAUCUCAUUGCGGGAGAUUCAACUGGAGAUCAGCACAAGGUCCUUAAAACUGCUGGAGCGGGAAACACAGUCAGUCAUGGGAGUGCUUGUCUGGCAUGAAGAUCAAACCUGUAAUCUCAGCACUUGGAAGGUGGAGGCAGGAGGGGCAAGCUCUAAGUCAUGCUCAGCUAUACAAGGAGCCAGCCUGGGCUACAUGACCCCCCCCCCCUUUUUUUAAAGGAAGGAAGGAAGGAAGGAAGGAAGAGGGAGGACUUAUAAAUAGUAGUGGGUAUCCCAUUAGAGAGAGAGAAAUGAAAACUGGGAUAGAUACAGCCACCUCACUUUUGUGGCUUCUUAUAACAGACACUAAAAGCAAAGGAAACAGACAGUGGUGGCGUCAGGAAUGGAGAACAGAAUAAUGAAAGCACAAUACAAAAUGUCCGGAGACAAGAAAUUCUAAAGUGUUGGGAAAAGCAAUGCUAAAGAGCCAGGCCAUGAGGUCUACACUGGGAAACGAGGUAAACAAAACUGGAAAGACACUAAAAUGGCUGGGGAAAAAAAAUGGAUCAUAAGGCUCAGACCAACAUGAGGAAGAGAGGUUAGAGAAAGUAAGAGAAAAGAAAGAGGUUAGAAAAAGUAAGUAGAGAAGGACAUGGGGCUAAGAAAGCACUCUGCCAUUUGAGGUGGUGCGGGUCUUAGCAAGAGCAAUGCUGUUAACCAGUCAGCACAGUCCGACGGCGAGGGAGCAGCACAGGUGUGAGGAAGAAGUGGCUCAUAAGCUCAUGUCCUUAGCUAUGGGGACAAAACAGGCAACUAAUAGACUGUGUAACUAAAGCAAUGGAUGAAGGAGAAGCUGCCAGCCAAGGAGCAUGUACUGAUAUAGACUCCAACAAACAGGCUGCUCCAUCUCUGCCCCAGGCCCUUCCAAAAGAGCCUGCCUCAGUGCCUGACAGUGCGGUACAUGUCUCCAGGUACUCAACAACCAACAGGGGAAAGGAGUGCUACCCACUACAAUCACCUCAGCCGUUUCUAGUUAGCAUAACGAACAGUUGUUGAGCACUAGUGAACUUCCAGGCACGGGAGAAGGCAUGGCAACUGACAUUUAUGCAGCUCUUCCAACAGCAAGACGCAAUUCCAGUUUGCACUGGACUCAUGGCUCUAUUGCAAUGAUGCUAAGGAAGAGGUAUUGCCAUGGUCCUCAUCAGAAUUCAGUCAGAGAGGUCAAUGUUAAUGAAUAAAUGCUGAGCCAUUGCACUGGGCUACAAACCAGGCAUUCCAGAGUGAGGCUCUUUGCCACACCCCACUGUCGGUGAGAAGACAGUCCUAUCCACUCAAAGGAACCCACUUCAUAUUUCUAAAUAUUCUAUCCUCUCUAUUUACUAAAUUUAAAAAUACAAAGAACUUCCAUAUUACAUCUGUUCUUAAAAUGCCAAAGCUAUCAAAAUCUAAAACAUCGCCAAACAUACAAGCUCUCUUCUUACCAAACUCUAAUUCUGACCCUAACAUUGGAUCAAAGUUGGCACCUGAAUGUAAGGAGUUACCUAGCAACAGAAGUUCCAUAUGCUUUUAAGAGCACAGAGGCACAGCACUCAGGAAAUAGAGGCAGGAGGAUCUUGAGUUCAAGGCCAGCAUGGGCUACACAGCAACGUCCUGCCACCACCAGCCUGCCAAAAGUACUUGUGAAUUGUGCAAUGACUGUGGAAUGCACAGGAAGGGCCUUGGGCUUGGAGGAUGGGGGCUUGUCCUCAUAUGCUCUACCAAAGAGGUCAGUUCUGAGCCAAGCUGUGAAAAAAGGGCAAAUGGCAUUGGGAGUGGAGGAAGAACAUCACUCAGAAGAAUGUAGAGGCCAGAAAGCUUUAAAGUAUGUUAAGAAAAGUGAGUGCGGGGGCUGGGGAUUUAGCUCAGUGGUAGAGCGCUUACCUAGGAAGCGCAAGGCCCUGGGUUCGGUCCCCAGCUCCGAAAAAAAGAACCAAAAAAAAAAAAAAAAAAAAAAAAAAGUGAGUGCGUAAAAGCACUCCAUGGGUUUGCAUGGAUUCUCCAGCAGAGGCUCUAAGGCUGAACACACACCAGACUCUUGGAUGUCAGUCUUGCCAGGCAAGCCGGAAAUCUUGUCUGCCCCAUUCAACACAACUAAAUGUAAAACAGCUACCUUCUAACUGGACCACAAGCCUGUCCAAAGUAUGCAGUGUAAUUUAUGCAACUAUGUAAACUAAAAAGAAACUGGUAACAAUCAUGAAACUGCUUUUAAAAGCACACGGCAGAAUGAUCUACAAACCCCUUCAACUCCUAUUCAUUGUCUCUAUCCCUUAAUAACCGCAUCAUCAAUGCUGUUUUCUAAGCCUCUGCUUGAACUCUCAGCAUGUAGUAGUAAGGCCCGAGAUGAACCUUACCAAGUCAAGGCAAUUUCUGGUGUAAGACAGAGUAAAAAAAAAAGGGGUGUGUGUGUCAUAAAGCACCAGUUUUCUACAAUUCAAGCCUAAAAAUAAAACAAACUCCUCUAACUGCCACAAGCCCCUGAGAGGUAGGCAUAAGCAAGCACUUUCUCUACGCUGUAGAGGCAUGUGCUGCUUCCGGUACUCACCCUGUUCUGUUUCCUAUUCCGAAGUCACUAGAGCAGGGACUGGGUGGAGACAUCUUCUAUCCCAUUAGCACUGUGCUUCCCAUGACUAAGACAUCCUGAUUGGCUACCAUCAGACGCAUGACCGCAGUUAAAGUGAAAAGCACUCUAUUAAUUUUUUUUUAAAGACAGGAUCUCAGACUGUAGUUUAAGGCUGGCCUUAAACUCUCAGUGAUGCUCCUGGCUCAGCCUCCUGAACGCUGUCACCAUCAGCCACUGUACGUGUCACUGUUACUGACUAUGGACCUAGACUUCCUACAACAUGAGGCUGAAAACCACUGCCACCAGUCUCACUGCCACAAAGGGAAGACUCUCCUGGAAAUAAGCUCUACUCGGAAUAAAGAGAAUCCACAAACAGAUGGAAGUCUGAGGCCAGCUAAGUACAGAUUUCAUACCUAGUUGGAUUUUUUUGUUUUUUGUGGCCUAUUUUGUGGUGAGUCCACUUUUACUUUUUUCCUAAUUGUUAUUAACCAUGUGUAUGUGGUAAUAGCCAAAUUCUAUUAACAAGAAAAUUUCAAGGUAAACUCUUAGCACCUAUUAAUAAUUAUGUCUAACUUUAUAAUCUGGUUUUAUUGAUAGUCCAAUAUUGAUACAAAAUAUUUAGAAAUGAUUCUGGCACAUUUUAACAUAGCAUUUCACAUUCAAAACUGUGUUAUAUAUCUUCAUUCCUUUUUUUUUAAGAAAAAUCAGUAUUUUUGCCUUACAGAAAACAGAAAAAAUAAAUGCCUAUAACUGUAUUAUGUAAGGUAAGAAUAAUCAACUCAGAAAUUAAGAGUUCUUAUUGUAUUAUAUCAAUUAUUUAAAAAACAACAACCCCUUCUCCCACAAAAGAAAACCACAAACACCAUGGAAAGCCUCUUACUUGAAGCUGAAGAGUAUGGCGAAGAAUGGUUUCUUCUAAGGCAUGGAUCCACUUCUCUCGCUCAUCUGCAUCUCGAGCUAGAACAAAACAUUAGAGGUCAAUGUGUGGUUUACUUUACAGGCUCAUCUUAAGGAAACAUCAAAUUACAAAAUAACAAUUCUAACAAAAGGAAUAUCCAUGUUUAAUAGUAGGUAGAUUACUUAUGGGGAGCAUUCUCAUGGGGAGCAACCAAAAAAGUUGGACUAUUAUUUUUUAAUUGCUUCAUUACAGAUGAAGGUUUUAAAAUGUGACACAUUGGAAUACCAUUCAGAAUACACAGUGGAAUACCAUUCAGUCACUAACAAAAAUAAAAACCAUUAUUGUUGCAACACAGAUGGAAUGCAUGCAAUAAGCCAGGCAUAGUAGACACAUAAGCACUAUAUGACCGAUCGCUCUUGUAGGCGCCCAACAGUGGAAGUAGGGUACAUAGAGUCAAGGGGGAGGAGGAAAGAUGGAGAAAGGGCAGAUCCAGAGAUACUAAGUUACAUUAGCCAAAAGCAAGCAGCUCUAGUGAGCUGUUGUAGUGCUGGUUUACUGUCAAUACCAAUAGCUAAAAGAAAGAACUUUGAAAGCUUUUACCAUGGAGAAGUGAUUAUGUUUGCAAAAAUAGGAAUGCUCAGCUGAUUUAAAAUAACACCAUGUAUAUAUGCAUCAAGGCAUACGCAGGAUCUUAAGUUUUUAUUAUCAGUUAAAAAUGAAUGUAACUAAGACAAACUUCUAUUAAAAAAGGGAAGAAGAAAGAAGGAAGGAAGGAAAGAAAGAAAGAAAGAAAGGAAAGAAGGAAAGAAGGAAGGAAGGAAGGAAGGAAGGAAGGAAGGAAGGAAGGAAGGAAGGAAGGAAGGAAGGAAGCCAGCCAGGCAGUGGUAGUAGCACAUGCCUUUAAUCCCAGCACUCAGAGGUAAAGGCAGGCAGACCUCUGAGCCAGCCUGACCUGUAGAGGGAGUUCCAGAACAGCCAGAGCUAUAUGGAGAAUCCCUGUCAUAAAAAAGCAAAACAAACAAACAAACAAAAAAUCAGAAAGAAAGAUGUAAAGAAAGACAGAAGAGAGGAAAGACAGACAGACAGAAGACAGUUACCAUAAACCAAAGUAGUAAAGAAUUACUGGUGAGUAUUUUGUGAAGGGCAAGCAUCUGGAGGAGAGGCCUAGUAUUUAGGGAUGUUCCUUGCUGGCAGCAUUAUAAAUUCCUAAGGAGGAGUUGUGUACUGGAUGACGCACUUAAGAUCUGUCAGUGUGUGUGCCAAGGGUAUUGGGAACUCUGUUUUCUGGUCAAAUUUGAGAUUGAACCUAAAAGUCUUUUUAAGAGAAAAGUUGAAGACCAGGGCUCACUAGCAAAGUGGUUCUCAACCUGUGGGGUGUGACCCCUUUGGGGGUUGAAUGACUCAUAGAGGUCACCUAAGACCAUUGGAAAAUGAUUCAAAACAAAAGCAAAAUUACAGUUAUACAGUGGCAACAAAAACAAUUUUCUAGUUGGGGGAUACCACAUGAGGAACUGUAUUAAAGGGGUCAUAGUAUUAGGAAGAUUGAGAACCACUGCAUUAGCAAAAGGGACUUUGGUAAAUUAAGCUGUCUUGAUUGGAAUCCCAAAAGGGCUUCACUGUGGAACUAAGGAUAAAUCAUAAUUGAAACAACUGCUUGGUCAUCUGUGUAGGCCAGGAAGAUCUUAAUACCUGAAGUAGACCAAGGAGCCCCCAUAUUGAUUAGUGACUCUGCAUGUGGCUGGCAAAGUGGAUGAAAGAGGUCCUCCUCAGGUUCUGACUGUUCUUUUUUUUUCUUUUCUUUUCUUUUCCUCCCUUCCUCCCUCCCUUUUCUGGGAUAGAGUUUCUCUGUGUAGCCCUUGCUGUUCUGGAACUCACUCUGUAGACCAGUCUGGCACUGAAUUCAGAGAUCCGCCUGUCUCUGCCUUCUGAGUGCUGGGAUUAAAGGCAUGUGUCAUCACUGCCUGGUACUGGUAUUUCUCUAAACAAUGUUUAAAUAUAGUCCAGCACACAUGUAAAUAUAAUCUAAUAUACAUAUAGAGGUGCCUCUGCAGACGAAGUCACACAUAACUGAACACCAAGACUAACAGGGACUCCAGAUUAGUUUAGAAGCAACCAAGCAGUAUUUUUAAAUUUUACUUAUUUAUUACUAUAUAAUUGUAUGGCCGGCAUACAGGAGAAUUUUGUUCUCCUGCCUCUCCUGGAUUCUAAGGACUACAUUCAGGAAGUGCUGAGCCAUCUAUUUGGCUCCUCGUUUUAUUUUCAAAUAAUCAAAUAUGAAUUCUCAAAUUACAAUAAAUUUUAAAUACAUACAAUAAUCAAAAUUAAGAACUUGGCAGAUGAGUUCUAACAGCAAUUAGAGACAUGGAAGAGAUGAUAAGAAACAGCAAUGGUGGUGGCCAGUCAAGGGAUAUGAAGUACUAAGAGGGCUGGAGAGAUGAGUCGGAUGUUAGGGAGCCUGCUGCUCUUCCAAAGGACUCACGUCCUGUUCCCAGGGCCCACACUGGGCAACUCACAACCUCCUGCAACACACACACACACACACACACACACACACACAUUUUAAAGUACAGAUAAAAGGGUUUAAAAAAAUAAAGGCAAGAAAAUGUAAUGUGACCAUGACCGGGGGAGACAGAGAACAAUGUGAAGCUCCCCGAGGAGAGAGGAACACAGGAAUUAGAAAUGGUCAUGGAAAAGGCAAAGGGCCCAUCACUCCCCGGGGCUUGGUGCAUUCCUAGGUGGCGGCGCCUGCAAAGGACGGGAUACUUCCAUUUGCUAAGAACCCUCAUGAACAAGGUUAGGAGACAUGUUUACAGUCAACACACGUCAUGACUCUCGGUAACCACUACUGUAUGCGUUCUUCUGACGAAAUCUUACCACAAUUACAAAUCAUGCUGACACGCAAGAUGUCUUAUCGCCUAUGACCCAUGUCGUAAGAAUUCCUGACCUUUCUUAGCUAUACUUUAAUCAGCACACCUCAUCUGUAAGCCCCUACGGUGCACUUCAUAAAUCACUUUACAUGCUUUCGUUUACCACAGGUAAAAAUAUACUGAAACAGUUUAAUCUUUUAGACAUAGCUAUAGUUCCAAACCCACAAAAGUCAUACACACAGCUGCUGCUAAGAAACCUUCCUCAUUUCUCUCAAGAAAUCUGAGCUUCCUCUUAAGUCUGUAUAGUACCCCCAAAACACACAUGCGUGCGCACACAUACACUCAUUCACACACACACACACACACACACACACACACACACAGCCUGUUUGUAAUAAACCGCACCCUUGCUUCCUACUGACUGACUUUCUUUCUGAGACUUGAAUCAAAAUUUUGACUUCACUUAGCGGAGGUUCCUAAAGGACACCCUCCCACCCCAGGGAUCAUGGCUGGCAAUUUCAAGUUGCACUGCUCACUGCUGGUGACACUACCUGGCUGAGAAUUUUCAGAAAUUGAUGAAAGGCAUUAAGCCACAGAUUUCAGAAGCCUUCAGAAUCCAGGGAAUAGAGUAACACAGAUCUUUCUGAAGAGAGAGUACGGAGAGUACACCAAAUCAGAAGUCAUAGGAAGUGGUCCUGAGAGAGCAUGGGCAGUUACCAGCCCUCACUGCGGAGCCUGCCCACAACCUAAGCCCAGCUGUAAUCGAGUAUGCUCACUCGCUCUGAAGAGCUGCUCUUCCCCAGGCAGCUGCUCACAGACUUCCCUGCGGAGCCCACCUCCCUCCUGGAGGCCGCAGAGAUCUGCUCACUUGCCAGCCUUAUGGUACUUUUCCAUCAAACUCCAAUAAAACUGUCCUCAAGUUUCAAAAAGAAAAUAUGGGGCUAAAGGUGCAGCUCAGUUGAUAGACAAUGUUUUCCCAAAAGGCCAAGUCCAACGAUCCCAGCAUACAGGGGAUAGAGUCAGGAGGAUUCAAGUUCAAGGUUAUCGUUUGUUACUGAAGCAAGAACAAACGAACUGUAAGAGUUUAGAGACCAGAAAUAGCCCCACUGCGUACGCAGACACUUGAUGUGAGACAAAUGUGCAUUAACAUGCAGUAAGGAACAACUCUUUAGUAAAUGGUACUAGAAAAUUAUGAAGAAAAUGAAAUCUGACCCUACCUGGCACUAUACAUAAAUCACACCCAAAUGUUUCCCUUAGUUUGUAAUUUGAAAGAAAAAAUAAAAUUUGAAGUGAAAGAGACUUUGUAUUUUGAUAUAGAAAAAAAAUAGCUCCUAAAGGGGACACAAAACCAUUAAUUACAAAGAAAAACUGGCAAAAACCUGUGUGUGUGUGUGUGUGUGUGUGUGUGUGUGUGUGUGUGUGUGUGUGUGUACACUCAAAAAGGCUCUGGAAGUAAGAAGAUGAGAGGUAAAUUUUAUAGAUGUUUUAUUUUUAGACAUUCAGUUCAUCUCGAAAUACUCUUCUCUAACAUUCACCAUGUCUCCUCAUGCAUGAUGGAGCCUGUUUUACAUCCUCUAAGCCAGGAAGUUUCAAUUUUUGUCUCUGGUUCUCAAUGAGGGACAUAUUUAUAACAUGUCCUGGUUAACAUAUACAAGUGUAUAGAUACAUAUGUACAUAUAAAACCAGAACAUUAGAUUCAUAAAAUAAGACUUGCUUCUUACAAUAUAUUAUUGGAACUCAUUCUCCCCUUCCCUCUCCCCCUCCCUCGCUUCCCUUCUCCCCACUCCCUCCCAUGGAACUCACUAUAUCGACUAGGCUGGCUUGAAACUGGUAGGAACUCCUCCCUGCCUUCCCCAAAUACAGGUAUACAAUACAAAACCCAGCAUAUUGUCCCUUUAAAUUUCACUUUUUGAAAAAAAAAAAAAAGGAUGAUAGGGAACAAGACUGAGGAGACAUACGUCCUAAAAGGAAAAAAAAAAAAAAGAUUACACCCUUCAUAAUAGACCCAAAUAAUAUAAAGUACCUCGGAGUGACUUUAACAAAGCAAGUAAAAGAUCUGUACAAUAAGAACUUCAAGACACUGAAGAAGGAAAUUGAAGAAGACCUCAGAAGAUGGAAAGAUCUCCCAUGCUCAUGGAUUGGCAGGAUUAAUAUAGUAAAAAUGGCCAUUUUACCAAAAGCAAUCUACAGAUUCAA